UACGGAGGGUGCGAGCGUUGUCCGGAAUCAUUGGGCGUAAAGGGCGCGUAGGUGGCCCGCUCAGCGUGCGGUGAAAGCUCGGGGCUCAACCCCGAGUCGGCCGUGCGAACUGGUGGGCUGGAGCACUGUAGAGGCAGGCGGAAUUCCGGGUGUAGCGGUGGAAUGCGUAGAGAUCCGGAAGAACACCGGUGGCGAAGGCGGCCUGCUGGGCAGUUGCUGACACUGAGGCGCGACAGCGUGGGGGAGCAAACAGG
rnacentral:rRNA from 1 species